AAGUCAUAUUGGGGGCAUUUUCUGAUCAACUCCUGAAAUCUGGUCCAGGCUGCACAUAAGGUCUCUCUUGGUUGUUGUGUGAAGUUGGUGAUUUCAUUCACCAACUU